rnacentral:rRNA from 1 species
GACGAACGCUGGCGGCGUGCUUAACACAUGCAAGUCGAGCGGUAAGGCCCUUUCGGGGGUACGACGAGCGGCGAACGGGUGAGUAACACGUGGGUGACCUGCCCUCAGCUCUGGGAUAAGCCCGGGAAACUGGGUCUAAUACCGGAUAUGACUCCAUGACGCAUGUUGUGGGGUGGAAAGCCUUGUGCGGCUGAGGAUGGGCCCGCGGCCUAUCAGCUUGUUGGUGGGGUGAUGGCCACCAAGGCGACGACGGGUAGCCGGCCUGAGAGGGCGACCGGCCACACUGGGACUGAGAUACGGCCCAGACUCCUACGGGAGGCAGCAGUGGGGAAUCUUGCGCAAUGGGCGAAAGCCUGACGCAGCGACGCCGCGUG